rnacentral:rRNA from 1 species
UCCCUUCGGGGACAAAGUGACAGGUGGUGCAUGGUUGUCGUCAGCUCGUGUCGUGAGAUGUUGGGUUAAGUCCCGCAACGAGCGCAACCCUUAUUGUUAGUUGCCAUCAUUUAGUUGGGCACUCUAGCGAGACUGCCGGUGACAAACCGGAGGAAGGUGGGGAUGACGUCAAAUCAUCAUGCCCCUUAUGACCUGGGCUACACACGUGCUACAAUGGGAAGUACAACGAGUCGCUAGACCGCGAGGUCAUGCA